rnacentral:rRNA from 1 species
AUUGAACGCUGGCGGCAGGCCUAACACAUGCAAGUCGAACGAGUGGCGGACGGGUGAGUAAUGUCUGGGAAACUGCCUGAUGGAGGGGGAUAACUACUGGAAACGGUAGCUACUACCGCAUACCAUCGGAUGAACCCAUAUGGGAUUAGCUAGUAGGUGGGGUAAUGGCUCACCUGGGCGACGAUCCCUAGCUGGUCUGAGAGGAUGAUCAGCCACACUGGGACUGAGACAGGGCCCAGACUACUGCGUGAGGCACCAGUGGGGAAUAUUGCGCAAUGGUCGCAAGCCUGAUGCAGCCAUGCCGCGUGUAUGAAGAAGGCCCUAGGGGUGUAAAGUACUUUCAGUCGGGAGGCGUUACCGACAGAAGAAGCACCGGCUAACUCCGUGCCAGCCGCCGCGGUAAUUC